GGUGUAUGCAGAAGAUGCAUAGAAACCCACAAAAAAGAAAUCAGUAUGGGGGUAGAUCUGAAGGAGGAGCUGAAAGAAAUGUGUACCUUGCUUGAAAAGUCAGCAAAUGAAUCAAACAACACAGAGCAAAGAGACAGUAAUGUGGAGCAAAUGGAAGUAACUGUAACAGAAAGUACAUU